AUGCUGACAGAGGCAUCGAAUGCAGAGUACUGUAGUGCGUGUAGGAAGAUCGUCGACGGCAAUGCUAAAAUGACCCUGGGAAUGAUCUGGACCAUAAUCCUUCGCUUCGCCAUCCAGGACAUCUCUGUGGAAGAAACAUCAGCCAAAGAGGGUCUUCUUCUGUGGUGCCAGAGGAAGACUGCUCCCUACAAGAAUGUCAACAUUCAGAACUUUCACAUUAGCUGGAAAGAUGGGUUGGGAUUCUGUGCUCUCAUUCACAGACACCGUCCAGAGCUCAUUGACUAUGGCAAGCUGCGCAAGGAUGACCCCAUGACUAACCUGAACACAGCCUUCGACGUGGCAGAGAAGUACCUGGACAUCCCCAAGAUGUUGGACGCUGAGGACAUCGUAGGCACGGCCCGCCCAGAUGAAAAGGCCAUCAUGACCUACGUGUCUAGCUUCUACCACGCAUUCUCUGGCGCUCAGAAGGCGGAGACAGCAGCCAAUCGGAUCUGCAAGGUGUUGGCUGUCAACCAGGAGAAUGAGCAGCUGAUGGAGGAUUACGAGAAGCUGGCUAGUGAUCUCCUGGAGUGGAUCCGGCGCACCAUCCCGUGGCUGGAGAACCGUGCUCCAGAGAACACCAUGCAGGCGAUGCAGCAGAAGCUGGAGGACUUCAGGGACUAUCGGCGUCAACACAAGCCCCCCAAGGUCCAGGAGAAGUGUCAGCUGGAGAUCAACUUCAACACCCUGCAGACCAAGCUGAGACUCAGCAACAGACCUGCCUUCAUGCCCUCCGAGGGGAAGAUGGUGUCGGACGUCUCUAACGCCUGGGGCGGUCUAGAAGGGGCGGAGAAGGGUUAUGAGGAGUGGCUCCUCAACGAGAUACGCCGGCUGGAGAGACUCGACCACCUGGCUGAGAAGUUCCGUCAGAAGGCAGCCAUCCACGAAACCUGGACUGAAGGUAAGGAGGUGAUGCUGCAGGCGCGGGACUUUGAGACGGCCUCUCUGUCUGAGAUCAAGGCUCUGCUGAAGAAACACGAGGCCUUCGAGAGCGACCUGGCCGCGCACCAGGACCGCGUAGAGCAGAUAGCUGCCAUCGCUCAGGAGUUAAAUGAGCUGGACUACUAUGACUCCCCCAGUGUGAACACUCGCUGCCAGAACAUCUGUGACCAAUGGGAUGCCCUGGGAGCCUUGACUCAGAAACGCAGCGAGGCUCUGCAGAGAACUGAGAAGCUUAUGGAGACCAUCGACAGUCUCUAUCUGUAGUUGUUGGUGAAGCUCUCAUUCAACAACUGGAUGGAGGGAGCCAUGGAAGAUCUGCAGGACACGUUCAGUCUCUAUACCAUAGAGGAGAUACAGGGUCUGAGUACAGCCCACGAGCAGUUUAAAGCCACUCUCCCUGAGCGGAUACAGGUUAACCGUGGUGCCAUCCUGGUUAUUCACAAUGAGAUCAGCCAAGAUAGUGGCCACCUAUCAUGUGAACAUGGCUGGAUACAGGUUAACCCUUACACCACCAUCAACCCUCAGGACAUCAAUGCCAAAUGGGACAAGGUGAGACAGCUGGUGCCACAGAGGGACCAGGCCCUGAUCGAGGAGCAUGCCCGCCAGCAGAACAACGAACGUCUCCGGAGGCAGUUUGCCAACCAAGCCAAUGUCAUCGGGCCCUGGAUACAAACCAAGAUGGAGGAGAUUGGUCGUAUCUCUAUCGAGAUGCACGGAACCCUGGAGGAUCAGCUGACCCACCUCCGCCAAUACGAGAAGAACAUCGUCAACUACAAGCCAAAGAUCGACCAAUUGGAGGGAGACCACCAGCUGAUUCAGGAAGCUCUGAUCUUCGACAACAAACACACCAACUAUACCAUGGAGCAUAUCCGUGUGGGCUGGGAGCAGCUCCUGACCACCAUCGCCAGAACCAUCAACGAGAUCGAGAACCAGAUUCUGACGCGGGACGCCAAGGGCAUCAGCCAGGACCAGAUGAACGAGUUCAGAGCCUCCUUCAACCACUUCGACAGGGACCACUCAGGCACUCUGGGUGCUGAGGAGUUCAAGGCCUGCCUGAUCAGCCUGGGCUUCGAUAUAGCCAACGAUGCACAGAAGAAAACAGGGAUGAUGGAAGCUGAAGACUUCAAAACCUGCCUUAUCUCCCUCGGUUACAACAUGGGUGAAGCAGAGUUCUCUCGCAUCAUGAGCAUCGUGGAUCCCAACCGGGUGGGCGUGGUCACGUUCCAGGCCUUCAUAGACUUCAUGUCCCGGGAGACGGCCGACACAGACACCGCUGACCAGGUCAUGGCCUCCUUCAAGGUCCUGGCUGGGGACAAGAACUACAUCCUGGCCGAUGAGCUUCGUCGUGAGUUGCCUCCUGACCAGGCAGAGUACUGUAUCGCCCGUAUGGCUCCCUACGCCGGCCCCGACGCGAUACCCGGUGCCCUCGACUACAUGUCCUUCUCCACCGCACUCUACGGAGAGAGUGACCUCUGAGUGACCUUUGACCCCUAACAUGUGAGGUCGCUCACCAGCCUACCUGCUCUUACCACCGCCCCCCGCAAGACCCUCCUACUGCUCCAACACCGCAGCUCUGCUCUAGCAUAGGUGCCAGAUCUGUUUGUGUUGUCUUACCCAACUCAUCGUUGUCACGCCAGCUUAGCAAAACACAGAUCUGGCAUCAGGCUAGCCCUGCUCUACAACGCUCAAAACAGCACAGACAGAUCUGGCAUCAGGCUAGCCCUGCUCUACAACGCUCAAAACAGCACAGACAGAUCUGGCAUCAGGCUAGCCCUGCUCUACAAUGCUCAAAACAGCACAGACAGAUCUGGCAUCAGGCUAGCCCUGCUCUACAACGCUCAUAACAGCACAGACAAAUCUGGCAUCAGGCUAGCCCUGCUCUACAAUGCUCAUAACAGCACAGACAAAUCUGGCAUCAGGCUAGCCCUGCUCUACAACGCUCAAAACAGCACAGACAGAUCUGGCAUCAGGCUAGCCCUGCUCUACAAUGCUCAUAACAGCACAGACAAAUCUGGCGUCAGGCUAGCCCUGCUCUAUAAUGCUAACAUGUUUUUUCUAUGUUCCUGGCCUUACCUUAUAUGUCAUAAUCAUCUUGUCUGCCCCCCCUCCCCCCUCCUUCCUUUUCCACUCAUUCCCCCCUCCGCCAACCCCUUUACUGGUGUAGGCUGAAGUUGCCCAUUGAUGCUGAUCUGGGGUCAGUUUAGCACUUUCCCCACUCUAGUAGUUAGUUAGGAUUGAGGGAGUGAAAGCUGAUCCUAGAUCUGUACCCAAGGGAAACUUCACCCCCGGACGGAGAGCCCCUUCCCUCCCUCAUACUUUGUCUCAGUUGGACUUGCUUCCCAUGCAGCAACACUCUCCAGGUUUACAAAAAGGGAGAGAAAUGUGUUUUUAUUUUUCUUGUUAUUGUUUUUCUUCAUAAAAUGAAUAAAGCUAACAUAUUUUAUUAUACAGAACAAAAAAAGGUAUUUUUCUUCACCUGCUAAAAAAAAAAGAAACAACAAUUGAAAUAAAGAUAAAUUGCUAUA